GCAGCAACAGCAGCCGCCGCGGCGGGCGGCCACCGCCUUUUCCUCGCCUUCGCCCUGCCCGGGGGAGAAGAAGGGGGCGCCAGCGGGCGCCGUCGGUCCACCCGUCUAUCCGCCCGCCUGGGGCGCGCUGGAGUCUGGCGACAGCGGCCCCGCUACCUUUUUGGCGCGGGGAUGCGGAGGAGCCGCUGAGUGAGCGAGCUGGGCGGGGGGAGUCGGCUGGCUGGCACCCGCCCGAGGCGAAGCUGGGCUGGGCGCCUGCACGAUGCGCUUCCUCGCAGACCUGCUCUUGCUGUCGAUCGCUGUCUCCAGGACGGCUCAGGU